GUGGGGAAUCUUGCACAAUGGGCGAAAGCCUGAUGCAGCGACGCCGCGUGGAGGAUGAAGGCCUUCGGGUUGUAAACUCCUGUCAGGGGUGAAGAAUCCCUUUGCAGCUAAUACCUGCAGAGAUUGACGGUAACUCCUGAGGAAGCCCCGGCUAACUUCGUGCCAGCAGCCGCGGUAAAACGAAGGGGGCGAGCGUUGUCCGGAAUUACUGGGCGCAAAGGGCACGCAGGCGGCCUUCCAGGUCAAUCGUGAAAUCCCUGGGCUUAACCCAGGAACUGCGGUUGAAACCGGUUGGCUUGAGUCCGGGAGAGGAGAGUGGAAUUCCCGGUGUAGCGGUGAAAUGCGUAGAUAUCGGGAGGAAUACCAGCGGCGAAGGCGGCUCUCUGGACCGGUACUGACGCUCAUGUGCGAAAGCCAGGGGAGCAAACGGG
rnacentral:rRNA from 1 species